rfam:Bacterium AM6 strain AM6 2017-02-03-Sterotrophomonas_trimmed_contig_34, whole genome shotgun sequence.
GGGGGUGCAUUGGUUUCGACGGGGGUUGUGAAGUCGCCUGGCGCAUGCCGAGGGGGUAGCUUUCCUCGUAAAUCCAGCUGCAAAACUCUAGUUGCCAACGACGACAACUACGCUCCGGUCGCUCUCGCAGCCUAAAAACUGCGGUGCGUGACCUUCUGCCGACUUAGGCGGAGCCUCGAAACUGCUUGUGUCCAUGCUCGCAGCGUAGAGUCAUUAUCAUGGAAUCGCGCUGGGCGGCUGCCUGUCAGUCCGGCACAAGAACACAACAGGCUGGUUCCCGGGUGCGCUUUGCACACCGUGCUGCUCGGGGAUGAGAUUCAACGGUGAGCUAAGCAUGUAGUGCUGGGGAUGGAGUGCCUUCGGACGGCGGUUCAAUUCCGCCCACCUCCACCA